UACGAAGGGGGCUAGCGUUGCUCGGAAUCACUGGGCGUAAAGGGUGCGUAGGCGGGUCUUUAAGUCAGGGGUGAAAUCCUGGAGCUCAACUCCAGAACUGCCUUUGAUACUGAGGAUCUUGAGUCCGGGAGAGGUGAGUGGAACUGCGAGUGUAGAGGUGAAAUUCGUAGAUAUUCGCAAGAACACCAGUGGCGAAGGCGGCUCACUGGCCCGGUACUGACGCUGAGGCACGAAGGCUAGGGGAGCGAACGGG
rnacentral:rRNA from 1 species